rnacentral:rRNA from 1 species
CAGCCGCCGCGGGAAUACGGAGGGUGCAAGCGUUAAUCGGAAUUACUGGGCGUAAAGCGUGCGUAGGCGGUUCGUUAAGUCUGUUGUGAAAGCCCCGGGCUAAACCUGGGAAUGGCAAUGGAUACUGGCGAGCUAGAGUGUGUCAGAGGAUGGUGGAAUUCCCGGUGUAGCGGUGAAAUGCGUAGAGAUCGGGAGGAACAUCAGUGGCGAAGGCGGCCAUCUGGGACAACACUGACGCUGAGGCACGAAAGCGUGGGGAGCAAACAGGAUUAGAUACCCCAGUAGUCCCUGUCUCUUAUAC